rnacentral:lncRNA from 1 species
UUUGCAGCAAGGGCUGUUUGUGAUCAGACUCCCGAAUAAGACAGAUGCUACAUGUGGUUGGGAACAUUUGAAAACUGACUUAUAGCUGUGAUCCAUAACAAUGCUAGAUUUAUUGACCACCUGCUGUGGAAACACAGUUGUGUUUUUUUUUUCUUUCAUUUUUUUUUUCCCCAGAAAAACCUCAGCUUGCCAUUUGUGAAGUAUCUCCCGUGUCUUUUUCACAAUUUCCUAGAAGAUGUGAUUAACCAAGAUGCCAGUGCUGCUCCAUUCCUGCACGCUCACCAAUCAGUGCAGUGUUAAUAAGAUGCCAGAAGGGGACCUUUCUUUCCUACCUUUUACGGUCCCCUUGGAGCAGACGGGUUUUCUGUGAGAAGCUGAAAGCAAAAUCAAACAUGACAUUUUGGGGUGUUCAUCAAAGGCAGUGGAAUGAAUGGAUGUCUGAAAAUAAACACCAGUUUUUCUCCAAUAUUUCAAUACCCAGG